CCUGCCUUGUUACAAAGAUCUCAGUGAAAAAAUUUCUCCUGCCUUCCACCAUCUCUGGGGAGGAGCACAGGCACCUGAAGAGUUGGGUUUGCCCUCAGCACUGUGGGCCCUCUCUUGCCCUUGAGCUGGCAGCUUGUACAGAUGUACAGAUCAGAAAGACUGAUAGUUAAAUCUACUGCUUUUCACGGAGCACCAAAAGAUCUCAUUGCCUCUUUUACUGCUCUCACUUUUACAUAAAAUAAUGGACUCAGCCAUGUUUUGCCUGCUGUAAGAAUGACUUUAUCCAUAUUUAUCUGGCCAAGUUUGGCUGGUGAAGCCCAAGGCUGCAAUUCCUGAGAAGAGCAGCCAGUGCAGAGAGGAGGCGCAGGGGGAUGAACUGUCAGAAGAUCCUGCUGGGGCAGGUGCCAGCUUUGGAGCUGAUGCUGCAAUUCCUCUGAUGUACAAUCAUCAUCCCUUACUUGUGUGAAUACCCUUUAAUUGUGGAACAGCCUUGUGACAGCAGUGUGCAAGUAAAGUCUUGAGGGUUGGGUUUUCAUGUGCUGCAGAAGGCCUUUAGUGUUUGCCACUGAGCUCCCAGUGAGAGAAGAGGCAACCAAGAAUUUUAAUUAAACUGUGAAUGAAAAAGAACUUCUAUUCAGCCACUUCUAUUCACCCUUCCACCACGCCAAUCUGCUGUGUAUUUAUAAUGCAGUCUCCAAGGGCUUUAUAACAAAAAAUUAGUAUCCAACCUACAUGGCUAACCAAAAUUAAUAUGAUUGCAUAGUAUUCUGCUAGUCAAAAUCUGCUGUGAAGGUGGUUGCUCUGCUUGGUGUCUACGUGGCCAACUUUCUCCUUUGG